UAAUUUUCAGGUAUUACUGGUUUAGAUAUUAAAGCUCGACGACCAUCUUUACAAAUAAGAUAUUCUUUUGUAGGUGAGGUUAGCUUAACAAAUGUGUUGGCAAUCAGUGGCAGAGGGGAUGACAUCAGAAUGAUACAUUCAUUGUCAGCCAACCGUACAGGAGUCGGCGAUACAAGAGCAAGUGUCUUAGAAGAAAGACGACUGGGAAAUACACUGCCAGCCACCAGCCGGGAUUGUGAAGACAUGGAAAUCUCAAGGAUAGUGCCGACAUGAAUGUAAACGAUAUGUGACAAUCAUAAAGAGUAUACGUGGUAUCUUUUUGCAGCAAUUAGAAGCAACCCAGAUUGUUAACGUUUCAAAUGUGUUGCCUGUGACUAUGCGUUGAAACUUCCAACAAAUUGAUAUCAUAUUAUAUUAUUAUAAGGCAUCGAAUUUCAUAGUAACGAUUUUGCAAUAGAUCGAUCGUCUGAAACAUUUUUUCAUUUCUGAAACAGCAGAAUAAUUGUGAAAUUUGACAAUCCAUUGUAGAAAAUAAUAUACAUGCAUAUAUUCAUUUGCAUGCCCGCACUCAACCUCUUUAAAACAACUGCAACGUAUUAAUUUAUUGAAUAGAAGAUACACUUUAUCAUACAAGCCUUUGUUGAAAAUUAAGAAGUUAGUGAUUUGUCAAUGAAUAAAAUAGUUGUUUGGAGCCCAGAUACGAAGGAAUAACACCACGAGGGUGCAGCACGAGUGAUAGUGAUACGACUGAUCUGUUCAGUGAUGUUUUCAGUAUGUUUUUUUCUUGCAAGUGUUUAGUAAUUUAAAUUUCUAUUUAUUAGCAGUCAGUUUAGAAUGUCUCCACAUAAGAACGUUCAUGAGGUAUCCUAGCAAUAAAUGCAUAUAAUUGUGAUUUACAUUUGAAAGGUAGUAACUAUUUGUAAAAUUUGAUUGUAUUAUAGAUUUAAAUAUUGCUCGGUGUUGUACGACUGAAGGUUGUACUGAAAUAUAUUACAAUUGGCUCAGUCAUUUCUCAUACCAAAACUGCAGUAGUUCAAAACAAUAGUUGCCAUUUCAGGUGUAUGUAGAUAUUUCGUUAUUUCAUAUAUUUUGUACACCUUUUAUACUUCGGGUUUGUGGGAUUUUUUAUGACUGGUUUAUCAUAAUGACCUGUCAAUAUAAUUUGUGCAUUAUUUUGUUAAAAAGGCAAACUAUUUUACAAAAUUUACCUUAAUCUUGAAAUUUGGGCUGUAUAAAGAAAGAAGAUUGUUAAAAGCACAAACUGAUUUAUUAAUUUAAAAUCAAAACAGGGGUAUUUUGCUAUUGCUUAUGCGCCCUGUGUGGCUGCAUUUGAACUAUGUAAAGCGCCUUUGAACGUGAAAUUGAUCAUGAAAAGGGCGCUAUAUAAAUCUGGUAUUAUAAUAUUAAUUAUGUUUAACACCUUCCUACUAAAGUUAAACAAAAUGACAGCAUAACUAUAUAUGUGAUGUUUUCGGACGCGCGUAUCAUUUAAUAGAACAUGAUUUCAAUAGGAAUUACAAAUGAAAGUCAUUACCAAGUCGUUCCCUUCACUGUCAUGUACGUAAUUUUUAGUUUAGACUUUUACUCGUAGCUCUGACAUCACUUUUUCUCGUCUAAAUGAUGCAAAAUCAGUGGCUUCAAUUUUUCAGAAAACUAUGCAAAAAUAUAAUAUGUUUAUUGUUAGUUUACUGUUGGCGAAGUAGACAUUGUAUUGAUGUAUUUACUUUUGUGGAUUAACAUGACUCAACUGUCUAUAUAUGGUAAAUUUCUGAACAAUAUAUCUUAGUAAUAUUUUUAAAGUAUUUCGUUUCGUUUUUCAUUUCAUGAUAUCUAUUGCACAUUUUAUUCCUUUUAAACUUUGCUUUUCUUGGCUAAAUGUACAUGACCAAGACAUAUAUUUUACAAAUGUACUGUUCGUAUUUUUAUCGUUAAAAAUCUCGUACAGCUGGUCAGAUAAAUCAGGAAUA
rnacentral:lncRNA from 1 species